AUUUAAAGUACACAUUUCCAUAUGUAAAUGUAGUUUAUGCUUUUCUACUGCCUGUCAGACUUAAUCACAUUCAGGUGAAGAGCUAUUAUUUAUAAAAUUUUAUGAAUUAAUUAUUUUCCAGGGCAAGUUUAAUUUUAAGUCACUGACUCAUUCCAGUAUUUUUAUGAUCACUAUGUGCCAGAGGCUGUCCUGGCCAUGAAGACAGAGACAAUAAUGAAGUAGCUUCUUAGUUUUCUCACUUUGCUUCCUAGGACAAUGGUGAAUUGGACAAAAGGACAAGAAAUAUUUACAUAUUUCAUUUAAUUCUUGUAUAUUUCUUAAGUUUUAAGGUUAUAACAAUGGUUAAAAGUCCAAAUGUUGGUGAAGUGUGGUGCUGAAACUCAGUGCUUGGUGAGGCAGAGGCAUGCCUCUGUUAGCUGUGGGCAGCUAUGUCUACAUGAUGAGACAGCCUCCGCCCUCCCUCCCCAACACACACCAAAAAACAAAUACUGCUUAAAGCUCCCAAAGAAAGAGGGCCCUUAAGGAAACAUUUCUGUAUGUUUUCUGAUAAUAAAAUAAGUUCCAAGUUUUCAUUUAUAAAACUGUUUUUUAAAAAAGUUAAAAAACCAAAGGGCACAAGGUCAAGGCCCUUAAGGGUGCAGUAAAGAGCUGGCUGUGGCAGUAAGUUACUGACAGAGAGACUAGCAUGAGGUUAUUUGAUUUUACUUACUUAUUUGUGUUUGUAUGGAAUUAUAGCUGCUUGGUUUUAGUAAGGAUUUAAGAACCUGACUUAUAAGGAGCACACCUGAAAGAGAGAACCUAAAGACAUUGUUUUUAGUGUGGCCUCUUCUUUAUUGGGAAAGAUCAAGUAUAAGCAAACCAGCAGGCUCUGUGACCUGCUUUCUCUCCUCUGAAGACACAGGUAGUCCUGUCUGCACGAUGUGGACACUGUGAGUCUCCAGGGCAACGAUCACACACAAGAGACCAACAAAUGUGAGGAUCACUGGGAUUUUCAGCUGUUAUUUUGAGAGCUGGCUGCCAAGACUGGAGUUCCUUUCCUGUGGCCCAUUCCUCCAGAAAAAGCAUGGUUGGCGGCUAUGGAACCUAGGAGAGCAGUACUAAGUCUGGAGGAAGAAGAUGUGCUCCAAUGGAAGGGAAAAGCUGGAGGAAGCUGAGGAGGUGGGCAACCCUGU